ensembl:miRNA
AGGCCACAGACCUUUUUUUGUGAACUGUGUCUGCUGUUCAUGUAUGAAUGCUGUGGUCGUU